rnacentral:rRNA from 1 species
AGGACGAACGCUUGCGGCGUGCCUAAGAAAUGCAAGUCGAGCGGAUCAGGAGCAAUCCUGGUUAGCGGCGAACGGUCGCGUAACACGUAGGCAACCUGUCCGAGAGACCGGGACAACACUCCGAAAGGGGUGCUAAUACCGGAUGUGGCCGAGGGGAGUCAUCUUCCUUCGAUUAAAUCACUUCGGUGGCUCUUGGAGGGGCCUGCGGCCUAUCAGCUAGAUGGCGGGGUAACGGCUCACCAUGGCGACGACGGGUAGCUGGUCUGAGAGGAUGGUCAGCCGGACUGGGACUGAGAUACGGCCCAGACUCCUACGGGGGGCAGCAAUUAGGAAUCUUGCGCAAUGGGCGAAAGCCUGACGCAGCGACGCCGCGUGGGGGAGAAGUCCUCGGGAUGUAACCCUUUGACAAGGAAGAAUAAAGUGACGGUACUUGUCGAUAAGCCCGGCUAACUACGUGCCAGCAGCCGC